UAAACAUUCCAGGAAAAAGCCGAUAGUGC
rnacentral:piRNA from 1 species